GGCCCCCGGCCAAUCGCUCGCCGGUAACCGGGGCGACCGGCCACUACAGAGCAGCCGAUUGGCCAGCGCUGCGGGGCGGGGGGCGGGGCCCAGCGGCCUCAGGCGCACCCCCCCGGGCCGGGGCGGGCUGUCCCCGCCGCGGGCAGGGCUCGGGGCGCCGGCCGGCUGGGGGGAGGGGGAGCCGGGCCCGGCGAGCCACGUGCGGCUGCUGGAGAUCACUGAGCAUUGGGAUGGCGAAGGAGUAACUCGGGGAGGUACAGCUCUCUUAUGCCAGUUCCACAGCCAGUUGGAACCGCCGUGUGCCCCUGUGCUGCGCACAACAGACUUGGAGAGCUUCACAGCUGUGGCUGGGGCAGAAUCCCCAUCAACUGCACCAAAGCUCAGGGCCCUGAUGCCUGAGCUGACAGAGAAUCUCUGCUAUCUGUUAGCAGUGCAGGGCCCAUGACAGCCAGGGGAACUACGAGAGGUACAUGCAUAUACACACCAGCUUGUUCAUUACACACUUGCCUAUAAAGACAAAGUUUGUCUCAGAACCAGCUGUUCAGAUCUUGCUUCUGACAUCAACAUAAGAAAUCUCUGUGUACCAAGUGCUUCCAUCCCGUAACUUCCAGUCUUUGCUUGGGCUUGUCUGAGGUGGUUGUGACAUUGUAUAAAAAGAAAGAUGACCAUGUUUACGCUAAGGUGUCACCACUGGUGCACAAUUGUGAUCCAUCUUAUACAAGUAUGCCUUGUAAGGUAUCGAUGAAAAUGUUAUGAGGUGCUAAGUAUUAUUUUCCUAUUUAAAUCACUGUAUCAUCAUGGUCUCUGAAGUUAUGAAGAUUUGCUAUGUGUUUGUAUCUCAAAUGUGUUGUGUUUCUGGAUAUCACCCACAAGACAGAUUUGCAUCAAGGCUAGUCAGCCAUGUGUUGAUGGCCCAUAAAGAGAAUAAACUCUUCAGUGAGCCCUCCUGAGGACGUCUCAGAAGGCAGGCUGACACUGAUGACCCAUGACUCAGCAAUGGUAUGUAAGGACAUGUGAUCCGAGACUUCAUGUUUGUGCUAGUAACUUUCCAUGCACAUAGGCUGAGGAUAUAAAAGUGGAGACUGUGACAUCACUUCUUGGCCUCUUUCCUGCUCCACAUUUCUGGAUUAUGAUUUCUGACAAAGAAGAGUUUAGAACAAUGGACUGAGGACCCCAAUAUUUGGGAUGAACCAGAGAGACUUAUUUCAAACUGGCAGAUUUAACAUCACUGCUAUUUACCUGAUCUGCAAACUGUGAAACCACCUGUAAUGUGUAUGAUUAAUUUUAACCUCUUAAUAACGCUUCCUUUUUUGUAUAUUAAUAAACCUUUAGGUUUUAGUUACUAAAGAAUUGGCUACCA